GUGGGGAAUUUUGGACAAUGGGCGCAAGCCUGAUCCAGCAAUGCCGCGUGCAGGAAGAAGGCCUUCGGGUUGUAAACUGCUUUUGUACGGAACGAAACGGUCCGGGUUAAUACCCUGGGCUAAUGACGGUACCGUAAGAAUAAGCACCGGCUAACUACGUGCCAGCAGCCGCGGUAAUACGUAGGGUGCAAGCGUUAAUCGGAAUUACUGGGCGUAAAGCGUGCGCAGGCGGUUUUGUAAGACAGGCGUGAAAUCCCCGGGCUCAACCUGGGAAUUGCGCUUGUGACUGCAAGGCUGGAGUGCGGCAGAGGGGGAUGGAAUUCCGCUUGUAGCAGUGAAAUGCGUAGAUAUGCGGAGGAACACCGAUGGCGAAGGCAAUCCCCUGGGCCUGCACUGACGCUCAUGCACGAAAGCGUGGGGAGCAAACAGGAUUAGAACCACUUGUAGUCC
rnacentral:rRNA from 1 species